UGGUGGAGUGAUUUGUCUGGUUAAUUCCGUUAACGAACGAGACCUUAACCUGCUAAAUAGUUACGCAAGCCUUCCAACCGCUCGUAGCCGGGGGCAACCCCGGUUGCGGGUGGGAACGGCUUAGCGGCCAACUUCUUAGAGGGACUAUUCGUGUCUAGCGAAUGGAAGUUUGAGGCAAUAACA
rnacentral:rRNA from 1 species